rnacentral:rRNA from 1 species
GACAGAGGUGCCGAGCGUUAGGCGGAAUCACUGGGCUUAAAGCGUGUGUAGGCGGCCCGUUAAGUGCCUCGUGAAAUCCCCCGGCUCAACCGGGGAACUGCCGGGCAUACUGGCGGGCUUGGGUCGCUCAGGGGCAGACGGAACAGGCGGUGGAGCGGUGAAAUGCGUAGAUAUCAGGAGGAACACCUGUGGCGAAAGCGGCUCACUGGACCAUAACUGACGCUGAUGCACGAAAGCUAGGGGAGCAAACAGG